AAUCAGGUGCAGGAGAUUAUCCUGGCUUAUUUGUGUGGGCCCAAUGCACUCUCAAGGGUCUAUAUAAAUGAAAGGGGAGGGUCAGGGUCAGAGAGAGAUUUGAAGAUACUAUGUCACCGGUUCUGAAGAUGGAGAAAGGGGCCACGAGCCAAGGCAGGCAGGCAGCCUCCAGAAGCUGGAAAAGGCAAGGAGACAGAUUCUCCUCUGGGAGCCCCCGGAGGGAACCAGCCCUGCCAACACCUUGAUUUGAACUCAGUGAGACCCAUUUUAGGCUUCUGACCUCCAUAAUUGAAAGGCAUGAAGAGGUUUGUCAUAUUAUCCUUGUGGAAACAAUGAAGAAAUGUGGGCUGCGUGAUGGACCUACUUGGAGGAUUCCUAACUGGUGACUCACUGUACCCAAUGAGUGGCUCAGAUGAAGAUGUAGGUGUCCAGCUCAUCACACUUCCAGAUGACACAAAGAGGAACAGGAUCAUUAAUAGGUUGGAUGACAGAAUUGAUGUUCGAAAUGAUCUUGACAGGCUGGAACGAUGACCCUAUAUGAACGAAUGACAUUUGGAGGAAGGCGGAUGCGGAGUCCUGCAGGCAAGUUGAAAAGAUUAGAAGCACAAAUAUGGGGCUGAAAGCCCUGGUUUAAGAAUGAAACCCUUGAAAAAGACCAAGUUUAUUUGACAGCUAAUUCAUUGUGAAUCAAUUGUGUGGCACAGCCAGAAGUCUGAUGACUCCCAGGCUCCCGAGCUGCCUUAGUAGACGCAGAAAGCUUGGAAUACGGAAGGUCAACGGUCCCACUAGGUUCCGUAUUUUGCUGCGUUCAGGGCUGAGAACCCUUCUUAAGAGUAAUGUCCAGGGGAGGGCCACCCCCAUGGUAAAGGAUCUAAACACUAAGUCCUAUGAGUAGAGUGACCAUAAAAUUUAUUACCUAAACUGGGACACAUCUGAGAGUGACAGAAAGUGUUAUUAACAACUGCAAUGUAUAAUAGUUCUACCUUUGAGGCAUCAUUGGAAGAACCAGGACUUUUUAUACUGGAGAAGAAAAGAAUUCAAAUAACCAAAUGGUUGUCAUAUGAGAAGGAGAAUAGGUUUCUAUGGCCUAUUAUUUUUCAAAAUGAUUGUUUAAAAAGGAACACCUGCUCAACGAAAAAACUUCAAAUGAUUGUCAACUCUCUUCUGUCAAAUGGGGCUGAUACUAGUAUCCACCUCAAAUUGUUAUGAGGAUUAAAUGAAUGUAAGGUAGUUAGAACAGUGCAUGGCAGAAGAAUUUAUAAGAUAAAAAUAAAAAAUAAAACUGUUUAAAAGAAAAAAGUCCUUCCAUCCUUGUGUGCCUCAAAGGUAGCCACAUUAUUCAUUUGUUGUGUGAAUUUAUAUAUUUUUUUUAAUUCUGAAAAUUUAAAACUAAUAUGCUUAUGAAGCAAGCAUAACAAAAUCUUGCUAAUGGCUAACUGAGUGAUUAGAAUGUGGGAGUUCAUUGUACUAUUCUCUCUAUUUUUAUGUAUCUUUGAAAUUUUCAUUAAAAUAGUUAUUUACAUAGCUCAAAGAGCAAACUAACACAAGGUUAUAGCUAUUCCCUACUAGCUUCUCAUAGGCUACCAUUUUAAAAUUGUUUAGCUGUAUCUUCUGAUAUUUACUUCCCUAUUUCCAUUGAAAUAUCAUGUUUGUGUUGCUAUUUUUGACUUUUCAUUUUUUAGAUAUUAUCUAUUGACUAUUAUGGAAGAUGAGGACUGAGCUUUCUUAUACCAUCAUCUAUAUUCACUUUACCUUUGUUCAUUCUCUCAAUACACUUAUAUCACAAUUUGGAGUAAAAUCAAUAGUCUGUGUCUGUGUAUAUAAAUAUGUAAAUAUUUCUUUUCCUCUCUCUCUCUCUUUUUUUUUUUUUUACAGCUGAGUCAUGUUGUGACUUUCAUCACAUUUUAUUUCUUAUAUAACUUUUUGUUUUUCUUGAAGUUAAUAAUUGCCUCAGGUUUUUUUUUGGUUGUUUGCUAAAUUUUCUAGUUAUUUAUUACUAAUUCAUGUCCAAAUUCCCAAUAGAAAUAUGAAACAUUUUAUUUUUGUCAAGCAUGUUUUGUAAUCUAUUGUUACCAUAUUUUUGUUGGUAGUAUCCUUUCUGGACCUACAAUUUUUGCAUUCAAGGUCAUUGCUAACACAAAUGACCAUUUAGAGUAAAUUUUUUUAAAAAGGCACCCCCUCUGAACAGAUGGAUUGUAAAAAAGGAACUUCCUGGGAUAACAAAUUACAGAAUGGUGCUCUCUUUGGGAAGACCCAUUAGUAAGAGUGUCUUCUUCCUCUAGGGUUGAUGCAACUUUUCAUCAAGAAUGUGGCUUGGCAAGCAGAGUGCAAGAUAGAUUUUUAGCUCUCAUUUAUGGCCCCCAAGCUAGACACUUUUGGUCAGGGAACAACCUGCACAACUGUAUGUGGUGUACCUGUUCCUGUUCGUAUCUGUACUAUUUACUCCAUGGAUAUGUUGCACAAUUGUCGUUAUGAAAUUUUCCUUUUCCAUCAUUUUGGGAAUUCCCCUCAUCCCUCUCAUGUGUUAGAUCUUUUGCUUACUGGGUCCCAAGUAUUCCUCUUUCCUGAUUUAUUCAUUCAUUUUUGAUGGAGAACAUUCUUCAGUAAUUUUUAAAGAGAGGAUGCAUGGGAAUUUUGGGGGACUUUGGAAGUGUAAGAAACACUUUACUUUAGACUCAUACUUGAUUGAUACUUUAGCUGGGUAUAGCAUUCUAGAUUUGAAAUCAUUUUUCCUAAAAGUUUUGAAGGUAUUAUUCCAUUAUCUAAUAGUUUCCAUUGUUGAUGUUGAGCGGUUUGCUACCAUUCUUACUUCCAAACUGUUGUAUUUAACCCUUCUUUCUCCUCUCUCUCUCAUUCUGGAUGAUUCUCUUUACCCCUUGGUGUUCUAAAAUUUUAUAAGUAUAUACUUUGGUAUGGGAAUUUGUAAAUCCUUCAUGCUGGGUAUUUGGUAGGCCCCUUCAAUCUAGAAAUUCAUAUCCUUCACUUUUGGGAAAUUUGUGAAAUUACUUUUUUAUAAUUUUCUCACCUCCAUUUUCUUUGUCCACUUUUUCUGAGACUCCUACUAGUCAGAUGUGUAUACUUUCUCUCUUUAUCCUCUAGUUUUCUAAUUUUUUCUUUCCUAGUUCCAUCUCUGUGGCUAUUCAUUCUACUUUCUGGAUGUGUUUUCAAUUUUACCUUGAAAAACUUCUAUUAAUUAUUUUUACUUUUAAUUUAUAUAUAUGCAUAUCUACAUACAUGUAUAUAUUAAUUUCCAGGGGGUCAAAAAUUAUUAUUAUUCUCUGAAUGUACCUUAAAAAUACACCCUGGUUUUGUUUCAUGGAUGUGAGUUUCUUAUACUUCUUUGACACUAUUAAUUAUAGGCGGAUUUUUUGUUUUAAGUUUUCUUCUCUUCCCUGAAUUGUCUUUGAUUCUUUCAAGUUCUUUUUCUUGUGAUAGUUAAUUCUGAUCUUUAUCUCUCAUGUUGGAAGCUUGUUUUAAACCCUUAAUAUCCUUUCCUGUUCAUCAGUACACAAACAUAAGGCAGUAAAAGACUGCUUGAACUCUGUGUGCAAGUUUGGGAUCUGUUGAUUAGUAGACAUCACUGAAAAGUGAUAUGGUCGAGACCCAGGUAUUUUGUGAGAGACCCCAAUUGCCAGAAUCUAGAGGUAUUUCCUUUUGGGUUGGCCAGUUUCUUCAAAAUCUCCAGCUGGACAGCUCAGCACUUGAAGAUAGUUCUCAGCUUUCUGAAAGUCAACACGGAAGAGAUGGCUGCCCCCAAAUUUAACCAGCUUAUUUUAACAUAACAAUGGUUUUUAAAUUUUUUAUUAUUGAGUAUUUCAAACAUAUAUAAAAUAAAGAGGAUAGUAUAACACAUCCAGCUCUAACAAUGAUCAAUUUAUAGCCAGUCUUGUUCCACAUUGUUCCCAACCACUUCACCCCCCCCAAGAGCAUUUUAUAGCAAAUCUCAGACAAUACAUCAUUUAAUCUGUAAAUAUUUCAGCUUAUAUUUCUAAAAUUAAAAAGACUUUAAAAAAUGGCCAUAGUAUGACUAGCACAUCUAAAAGACUUCAUGAUGCGCAGUUAACGCCGUGCUUACAUUUCCUUGGUUACCUCAUAACUAUUCUUCCUGUUCUUCCUCCUCUUCCUCUUUUUAACUACUUCCAGAAUUCAAAUAUAUUGCAAUUAGUUGAUAUGUUUCUUAAGUUUCUUUUAGUCUAUUUAUUUUCCCCCUUGUAGUUUCUUUCUUGAGGAAGCCAGAUUAUUUGCAUGAAAGUUUCUCACAGCCUGGGGAAAUUACACAAGCAAGAGCCUAAAUCAGAUUGCAUCCUUGUGGUUCCUCUGUUCAUAGUAUUUUCUGUAAAAUGGUAGUUACAUCUAGAGGCUUGAUCAGAUUCAGGUUUGAUUUUUUGGAAACACUAUUUAAUAGAAUUUUUCGUUUUCUUUUUUUGAGAUUUUUUUGUAUUUUCAUCAAGAGGCACAUAAUGUUCUGUUGUUUCUCUUUUUCUGAAAUUAAUAGCCAUUGAUGAUAGUUGCCUAGGUCUAUUAUUCUAUUAAGGAUUGCAAAAUGUUGAUAUUCUAACUCUAUCCAUUCCUUCUCUAUUUGUUAGCUGGAAGACUUCUAUAAAGAGAAAUUUCCCCUCACCCACUAUUUGAUUUUCUUGAGGUACAAUUCAUAUAAGAAAGGCAGUAGAAAUACUUGAUUCUUUCUCUUUAUUUAUCAGUUUCCCAAAUGAUGAGUUGGUUCCCUAACAUCCUCCAAAGAAGAUCAAUAAGGUUUUUCUUUUAAGUAUAGUUAUGUACUCAUGGACUCAAAUAUAUUUGAGGAGUUUCAAUCAGUUGUAGUUGUUAUAUCCACUGAUGCUCGAUUAUCUCAUCAUUGGUCAAUGCGAGCCUCUAAUUGGCACUUAAGUCCUUUGACAUGAAUCUAGUAGUCUUUCAUAACUUCCUUGCUUUCCGUUAUGACAAGAUUUCCAGAAUUAUCUGGUAUAUUUCCUGUCUCAGACUUGGCAUCUUACCUUUCCCCAAAGAGUCCUGGUUCCUUUUAGUGCAAAAUGGUAUUUAAAGACCACAAUCUGGAGACUAGAGGUGUUUAUUGCUACUGAGUUCAUCAGUUUCUUGUCCUUUUCAGUGGACAGAGCCAGGAAUUUUUUUUUUUUUUUUUGCUGAGGAAGAUUCAUCUUGAGCUAACAUCUGCUGCCGAUCUUCCUCUUUUUGUAAGUGAGCUGCCGCUACAGCAUGGCCACUGACAGACGAGUGGUGUAGGUCCACGUCCAGGAAGUGAACCCAAGCCACCGAAGCAGAGUGCACCAAACUUAACCACUAGGCCACCAGGACUGGCCCAGAAAUACAUUUUUAAAAAAGAUAAAAUGCAUCAAGAGUCAUUACUAAUAAUUAAAUCCAGGACUACAGGGAUUUCACUUAUAUUCAUUGAUCUUUCAUUUUGUUUUGUUUGUUUGUUUCUCCCACACCAAAAAACACCAAGAACACUAAUACCAUUACUUAUUUGCUUUAUUAGUGUAUAUCCCACUAGGGGAAUGCAUAUACAGUCAAUUAAUAGGUUUUAAAUGACUUGAAAUAGUUUUUCUCUAUGUGGUUAUGGUACCAAAUCAAUAGAUAGUUAAGUUCAUUUGUUUCAUUUUGCUUUAGCUUUUUCUUACGUAUUUACUUAAUUUUAUUGUUAUUAUGUAAAAUAUUUACAUGAUUCUAAAGUCAAAUCUACAAAAUAAGAUAUAAUCAGGGAUGUCUGCCUUCUACCCUGUCCUCCAUGUUGUUUCCUCCGCUCUUCAAUAGAUAAACAUUAAAAAAACCUUUUUGGUUUAUCUUUCCAUUUUGUAAAAUGUAAGUAAAUAAGUAUAUGUAUUCAUAUUCCUCCUUUCUUUCUUAGAUAAGUGGUUGCCUAUUGUACGCAUUUUUAUCCACCUUAAUAUUGGUCUUUUAAUAAAAUUUAUAUCUAGGAAUAUGCUGCAUGUUUACGUUGUGGCUCAGCCUGCUCCGUAGUUUGCUUCUUACCUACGGACACACACUUCUUAAAGCAGGUACCCAAUGGCAAGGGCAUGGAUGUGCUUUAAAGGGAAAUGAGCCUGGGUUUGAAUUCCAGCUCUACCCCUUACUUGCUGUGUGACUUUGGGCAAAUAUGUA
ensembl:lncRNA